AAAGUAUUCUGUUAGGUGAGGCUCCUAAAUAGAGAAACGCUUCUGCCCAAAAAUGUCGAGAGACGCCAAUGGGUCAACAGGAAAGAUCGGAAGAAGGUCUUUUUUAAUGAAGCUGGUAAACGUACCUAUGCUAUUUAGUGCUAAAACUUGAACGAGGGGAAACUUA
rfam:Bacillus vireti LMG 21834 contig55, whole genome shotgun sequence.